UCAUGGCUCAGGACGAACGCUGGCGGCGUGCCUAAUACAUGCAAGUCGAACGCUUUUUCUUUCACCGGAGCUUGCUCCACCGAAAGAAAAGGAGUGGCGAACGGGUGAGUAACACGUGGGUAACCUGCCCAUCAGAAGGGGAUAACACUUGGAAACAGGUGCUAAUACCGUAUAACAAUCGAAACCGCAUGGUUUCGGUUUGAAAGGCGCUUUUGCGUCACUGAUGGAUGGACCCGCGGUGCAUUAGCUAGUUGGUGAGGUAACGGCUCACCAAGGCAACGAUGCAUAGCCGACCUGAGAGGGUGAUCGGCCACAUUGGGACUGAGACACGGCCCAAACUCCUACGGGAGGCAGCAGUAGGGAAUCUUCGGCAAUGGACGCAAGUCUGACCGAGCAACGCCGCGUGAGUGAAGAAGGUUUUCGGAUCGUAAAACUCUGUUGUUAGAGAAGAACAAGGAUGAGAGUAGAAUGUUCAUCCCUUGACGGUAUCUAACCAGAAAGCCACGGCUAACUACGUGCCAGCAGCCGCGGUAAUACGUAGGUGGCAAGCGUUGUCCGGAUUUAUUGGGCGUAAAGCGAGCGCAGGCGGUUUCUUAAGUCUGAUGUGAAAGCCCCCGGCUCAACCGGGGAGGGUCAUUGGAAACUGGGAAACUUGAGUGCAGAAGAGGAGAGUGGAAUUCCAUGUGUAGCGGUGAAAUGCGUAGAUAUAUGGAGGAACACCAGUGGCGAAGGCGGCUCUCUGGUCUGUAACUGACGCUGAGGCUCGAAAGCGUGGGGAGCAAACAGGAUUAGAUACCCUGGUAGUCCACGCCGUAAACGAUGAGUGCUAAGUGUUGGAGGGUUUCCGCCCUUCAGUGCUGCAGCUAACGCAUUAAGCACUCCGCCUGGGGAGUACGACCGCAAGGUUGAAACUCAAAGGAAUUGACGGGGGCCCGCACAAGCGGUGGAGCAUGUGGUUUAAUUCGAAGCAACGCGAAGAACCUUACCAGGUCUUGACAUCCUUUGACCACUCUAGAGAUAGAGCUUCCCCUUCGGGGGCAAAGUGACAGGUGGUGCAUGGUUGUCGUCAGCUCGUGUCGUGAGAUGUUGGGUUAAGUCCCGCAACGAGCGCAACCCUUAUUGUUAGUUGCCAUCAUUUAGUUGGGCACUCUAGCGAGACUGCCGGUGAC
rnacentral:rRNA from 1 species